CGCACAUUGCGCCCUUUGGUAUUCCGAAGGGCAUGCCUGUUCGAGCGUCAUUAUCACCCCUCAAGCCCCCUGGCUUGGUGUUGGACGGUUUGGUGGAGGCCCGUUUUACCGGGUCGCUGCCCCUCCCAAAGACAAUGACGGCGGCCUCGUUGGACCCCCGGUACACUGAGUUCUUCACGGGACACGUACUGGACACAAGGGUGCGCGGGGCACGGUCUGCCUCCCCUCUAGGGAGAAAUUUCUCAAGGUUGACCUCGGAUCAGGUAGGGAUACCCGCUGAACUUAA
rnacentral:misc_RNA from 1 species